UGGGGAAUAUUGCACAAUGGGCGCAAGCCUGAUGCAGCAACGCCGCGUGAGGGACGACGGCCUUCGGGUUGUAAACCUCUUUUAGUAGGGAAGAAGCGAAAGUGACGGUACCUGCAGAAAAAGCACCGGCUAACUACGUGCCAGCAGCCGCGGUAAUACGUAGGGUGCGAGCGUUGUCCGGAAUUAUUGGGCGUAAAGAGCUCGUAGGCGGUCUGUCGCGUCUGCUGUGAAAACCCGAGGCUCAACCUCGGGCCUGCAGUGGGUACGGGCAGACUAGAGUGCGGUAGGGGAGAACGGAAUUCCUGGUGUAGCGGUGGAAUGCGCAGAUAUCAGGAGGAACACCGAUGGCGAAGGCAGUUCUCUGGGCCGUAACUGACGCUGAGGAGCGAAAGCGUGGGGAGCGAACAGGAUUAGAUACCCUGGUAGUCCACGCCGUAAACGUUGGGCGCUAGAUGUGGGACCAUUCCACGGUUUCCGUGUCGCAGCUAACGCAUUAAGCGCCCGCCUGGGGAGUACGGCCGC
rnacentral:rRNA from 1 species